AAGCUUAGCAAGGUUUUCUAUGUUUAAUGUCACUCUGUUAGUAUGGGGCUUCCCCGGUAGCUCAGUGGUAAAGAAUCCACCUGCCAUUGCAGGAACCACAUGUUCGAUCCCUGCAUUGGGAAGAUCCCCUGGAGAAGGAAAUGGCAACCCACUCCAGUAUUCUUGCCUGGGAAAUCCAGUGGACAGAGGAGCCUGGAGUCCGUGGGGUUGCAGAGAGUGGGACACAGUGAAGUGACUCAGCAUGCACGUUCGAUCCCUGGUCAAGAAACUGAGAUCCCACAUACCAGCUAAGCAUCUAAGCCCGAGGACAACAACUACUGAGCCCUCAAGCCACAGUGAAAGAGCCAUCCCGCAAGAUGCAACUAAGACCUGACUCAGCCAAGUACAUGAAAAAGAAAAAGAUUCAAGAACAGGGACAGACCGGAACCUGGUGGUCCAGAGUCAAAGAUAAGAAACUGAUAAAGAGAGAGAGAGAAAGAAAGAAAGAAAGACAUGGUGACUGAAGCUCUGAUGGAGCAAAAGUGCUUUAAUGAACUUUCUGUGAGUAUAUAUAGGCUGUUGUACAAGGAAUUUCUUUUGACAACGAUAAAGAUCAGAAAACCAAAUGUACAGCAACUGUUACCAAGGAAACAAGGAAUUAACAAUGGUCAUAAGGUCAGGAGGCAAUCCAUAUCUCAAGAAAGAGGAUCGAGACUAAGCAGUUUUGUCAUAAGGAGAAUGUUUACUGAAGGAGAUUCAUGCAUGUCUCAUCCUAUGACCUCAGUCCUGGGAGCGGCGUGCUGUUCCACUCAUUUCUGUUGCCAGAAACUGAUAAGGAACAGAGGAUUUAUGAGAAACAGCACGUAGGAAUCCUCCUGUUAAACAUUCCCUGACAAUCCUUCAGUAAUCUUUUUUCAAAAUCUAUACUCAUAUGCUGGCGACUUUUGGAAAAAUUACUAAUUUUUCCUUUUAUUUCUUUCCCAUUAGGGAGCCAAAUAUCAACUUAACCUUGGCUGGUAAACAUGAGGCAGAAUUAGAUCUCAACCAAGAAAAAGAAAAAGACCCAAUAAUUUUCCCACAAAAUUGGAAAUAGUAAAGAAUUGAUACUCCCAAAAUAUAAAUAACUAUAACAGCUCUAGAAGUUCCUUAAUAAAUUCCCACAAAUAUUGCAUUACUG
ensembl:lncRNA